rnacentral:rRNA from 1 species
GACGAACGCUGGCGGCGUGCUUAAACACAUGCAAGUCGAGCGAGAAAGCGUCCUUCGGGAGUGAGUACAGCGGCGAACGGGUGAGUAAACACGUCGGGCAACCUGCCCUCAGGAGCGGGACAAACCCGGGGAAACUCGGGCUAAUACCGCAUAAUCCGUCGUGCCUCAAAGGCGUGUACGGCAAAUGGUAGCUUCGGCCUCCGCCUGUGGAUGGGCCCGCGGCGCAUUAGCUUGUUGGUGAGGUAACGGCUCACCAAGGCGACGACUGCGUAGCUGGUCUGAGAGGACGAUCAGCCACACUGGGACUGAGACACGGCCCAGACUCCUACGGGAGGCAGCAGUGGGGAAUCUUGCGCAAUGGGCGAAAGCCUGACGCAGCAACGCCGCGUGAGGGAAGAUAGGCCU